rnacentral:rRNA from 1 species
UAAUACGUAGGGGGCAAGCGUUGUCCGGAUUUAUUGGGCGUAAAGAGCGUGUAGGCGGCCAGAUAGGUCCGUUGUGAAAACUCGAGGCUCAACCUCGAGACGCCGAUGGAAACCAUUUGGCUAGAGUCCGGAAGAGGAGAGUGGAAUUCCUGGUGUAGCGGUGAAAUGCGCAGAUAUCAGGAAGAACACCCGUGGCUAAGGCGG